rnacentral:rRNA from 1 species
GACGAACGCUGGCGGCGUGGAUUAGGCAUGCAAGUCGGACGGUAGGGCUUUAUCGUAAGAUAGAGUUUGAGAGUGGCGAAACGGGUGAGUAACACGUAAGGAAUCUACCCGUUAAGACGGGGACGAACCCAGGGGAAAACUUGGGCUAAUACCGGAUGAGAGUGCGAGAGAUUGCAUUUAAAAGGAUGGCGAAAGUUGUCGCUUAGGGAUGAGCCUGCGGUCUAUUAGUUAGUUGGUGAGGUAAGAGCUCACCAAGGCGAUGAUAGAUAGGCGGCCUUAACGGGUGGUCGCCCACACUGGGAUUGAGAUACGGCCCAGACUCCUACGGGAGGCAGCAGUCGAGAAUAGUCUACAAUGGCCGGAAGGCUGAUAGUGCGACGCCGCGUGAACGAGGGAGCCCUUCGGGGUGUAAAGUUCUUUUCUAUACGAGCAGUGCUAUAUAUAUGGAUAGUAUAUAUAGAGGGAUAGUAGUAUAGGAAUAAGCAACGGCUAACUCCGUG